rnacentral:lncRNA from 1 species
AAAUAAAUAAGCAUAAAUAUGGGUUGUAUUUACGAUGGUGUUUGUUCUUCCUGGUUGACCUUUUCUUGUGGCAACAGGUCACACAUCUUGCUGCGGUGAUGGUACACUGGGAUUUCACCCAAUAGAUAGGGGAGUUUAUCAAAAUCGGGUUUGUUUUCGAAUUCUUUGAGGGUCUGUGUAAUCUGAUGGAAAUAUGUGUCUCUAAUAUGGUCAUACAUUUGGCAGGAGGUUAGAAAGUGCAGCUCAGUUUCCACCUCAUUUUGUGGGAAGUGUGCACAUAGCCGGUCUUCUCCAUCAGUGUUUUAUUCUAGGCUUCUACACUGCGAGAGAGCAGACACACCUCUCGAAAAUCGAAGGAGACUUGAUACGGCACUUCUGAUAUCUCGCCUGGAACUUCCUCUUUUAUAGCAGGUAGACUACUACUGUAGUAUUAACGCGCCUGUAUAUGUUGAACAGCUACUUAUUUGCCCCAGUAUCUGUGCUUUAGAGAUGUCGACGAUACACGUCAUACUCAUCGUCGACAUCUCUAACGCACAAAUACUGGCGCACUAGCAUACUUAUUAUUUGCUUAUGCUACCGUCUAUUUGUUCUUGCCGUUGGUCGGUGUCAGUAAAUGAAGGCCAAAGGGAAUUGUUGAAUCGUUCGUAUUAAAUAGCUUCUGCAUUUCGCUGAGCCAGCGUUUAUUUGGGAUAAGCAGAGAGGGGACACCUGUGGCUUUGUGGUAAGUUGGCAGCAGUUUUACAAUACUCCGCUUUUCCUGGCCACAGUAAUAACCUACAGCGUGGUGAUAUAAAUUGUAUUAUAGCGCAGUAAUUGUAUGGAUAUUAACAUGUAGCCUUUCAGCUUACCCUGAACAUUUUGUAUAAUAUAAUAGUAAACACAGGAUAUCUCAUAGUGUCGGUUUAUAGAUAGAGAAGUAGGUUGCAGAUCUGCAGACAGCAUUUCGCAGAGGCAGACAUCGCGAUGAAGGACAUUUCGAGGGUUAUGGUGUACGGGUUUCCGACCGACCAUCAUCAAAAGCGACUGAACGAAGGAGGCCACGCGAGUCAAUGCAAUGGAGCUCCAGAGGUAACGUUAACCGGUCAUGACUGUUGACUAGGCUAGCGUUAGACACUGGACAACUUUGUUGCAACUCUAGUUGAAGGUAACUAGCUAAUUGCAUCUGAAGUGUUUUGUGUAACCCCCCCCCCAGCAAAUAAGGUUAGCAAGCAACUCAAUUGUAACUAAAAUUGCAACACAGUUUAUCCGUGUACCCCUGUUAUUAGGUAACGUUAGUUACUGUAGCUAGCUCCCACCUCAGAUAGUCAAGUACUGUAAUACAUUUUGUUGACAGAUUUGUUUUUGUAAUGUUUUGUUAACUCCACCUCAUUUAGCUAGACUGAAGUUGACAUAACUAAUGUUUGCUGAUAAAGACAUGUCCCUGUAUUUGCUGUGUGUGUGUGUGUGUGUGUGUGUUGAUAAAGCAUACAACAGGUAGCUUGUUAAUGCCAACUGAUAUAUGUGGGUUCAGUUGUCUUAACAAAACGUUUGCUUGUUUUCAGGAUGACAUCUUCAUCCCUGAAAAUGUUUUCAUCCUGCAGGAGGCAGGGGGAAAGAACGGUUAGUACAGCAUGCCAAACUGACCCCUGGGUGGCAGAGUGUUCCUGUGCUGCGGUGGAGAAGAGGUCCACCGGGACCAUCACCAAAGAGCUCAGGGCCCAGCUAGAUUGCGCUCACGACCAUCAGUAUACAAUCGAGUCCUGCCCCUAUUUGCCACAGAUGGAGCUGAUGGAGAGUGAGAUCAGUGAAGACCAUAACUCGCUGAGAGCUCAGAAUCACACUCAUCACAGUGCGAGCCAAAAUAUACUAUCGAUCACUUUGGGGGAGCGGGAUGGUGUUCCGAAAAUGGAGAAGGAGCAGGCCAUUCAACAGCCAAUUCAAAGAUACACCCAUCCAUAAAGGGAAUUGGAGUGGAAUUAUUUUUUCAAAUAUGUUUUUUUACCCGUUUCAAUGGACGUGCUUCCUUGUCCUGGUUCUGCUGUUUCGACACUCUCUCAACCUAUUAUUGCUCAGCUAUGAAAAGCCAACUGACAUUUGCUCCUGAGGUGUUGAACUGUUGCACCCUCUAUAACCACUGUGGUUAUUAUUUUGAUGUAAAAAGGGCUUUUGUCAAUAUAUAUUUGAUUGAUUGAUUGUUUGCUGUGCUGGAUGCUGUGUAUUCACUAACUGUCUGAGUGAUGGAACAUUUUUGUAGUAUCUGUAACAUAUUUUGGUGUGUAUUUAAUGCAUCUUAACUUCUUUCCUUCAAAUAAUUUUAGAUGAUUUAUUGACUGGCUAUGGCUUUCCAGAUCACCCAACACUGCUAUUUGUAAGGUUAAUUUUAAGUGCAUGUUGUGAUUUUUUUUUUUACCAUUCCUGAACCUGUGACCAGAAACAAGCUACGUAGGGGCAAUACCAGAAUAAGUGAUCUACUGAUUCAGUCUCUUAGCUGCUCCCAUUACCUCACUGCUGAAGGGGGGUCCUGUAGUCUGCAGUGGUCGGUUGAGGCAGACAGGACUUUUGGGCAACUAAGAGUUUACCUCGGCUCCCGUGCUGGCCCAUCCGGAUCCCUCUUUGGCAUUCAUAGUGGAGGUGGACGCGUCCGAGGCUGGGAUUGGAGCUGUGCUCUCUCAGCGCUCGGGCACGCCACCAAAGCUCCGCCUCUGUGCUUUCUUCUCGAAGAAGCUCAGCCCGGCGGAGCGGAACUAUGAUGUGGGGGACCGGGGGCUGUUGGCUGUGGUUAAGGCUUUGAAGGCGUGGAGACAUUGGCUUGAGGGGGCUAAACACCCUUUCCUCAUCUGGACUGACCACCGCAACCUGGAGUACAUCCGUGCAGCUAGGAGACUGAAUCCUCGUCAGGCAAGGUGGGCCAUGUUCUUUACCCGUUUUGUGUUUACCCUGUCCUACAUACCAGGUUCCCAGAAUGUGAAGGCAGACGCACUGUCCCGGCUGUAUGACACAGAGGAGUGGCCCAUGGAUCAGACUCCCAUUCUCCCGGCCUCCUGCCUGGUAGCGCCGGUCGUGUGGGAGCUGGACGCGGACAUUGAGCAGGCGUUGCGUACAGAGACCGCUCCACCCCAGUGUCCCGUUGGGCGUCAAUACAUUCCGUCUGCUGUCCGUGACCAGUUGAUCUAUUGGGCCCACACAUCACCCUCCUCUGGUCAUCCGGGGAUCGGUCGGACGGUGCGCUGUCUGACUGGGAAGUACUGGUGGCCCACCUUGGCUCGGGACGUGAGGGUUUAUGUUUCCUCCUGCUCGGUGUGCGCCCAGUGUAAGGCUCCUAGACACCUGCCCAGAGGGAAGCUACAUCCCUUACCCGUUCCACAACGGCCUUGGUCACACCUGUCGGUGGAUUUUCUAACGGAUCUUCCUCCCUCACAGGGAAACACCACGAUCCUGGCCAUUGUGAAUUGUUUCUCUAAGUCCUGUUGUCUCCUCCCUCUGCCCGGUCUCCCUACGGCCCUACAAACUGCGGAGGUCCUGUUUACACACGUCCUCCGGCACUACGGGGUGCCUAAGGAUAUAGUGUCUGAUCGAGGUCCCCAGUUCACUUCGAGUCUGGAGGGCGUUCAUGGAACGUUUGGGGGUCUCGACCUGCCGGAAGCUGGGCCCACGGUUUGUCGGGCCAUUCAAAGUCCUGAGGAGAGUGAACAAGGUAUGUUACAGGUUACAGCUUCCCCCCGAUUACCAUAUUAACCCCUCGUUCCAUGUCUCUUCUCAGGCCGGUGGUGGCUGGUCCGCUCCAGGAGUCUAAGGUACGGGAGGUUCCUCCGCCCACUCUGGACAUCGAGGGGGCCCCGGCGUACUCCGUCCGUUCCAUCCUGGAUUCGAGGCGUCGGGCCUUCAGUACCUCAUGGAGUGGGAGGGGUACAGUCCGGAGGAGAGGUGCUGGGUUCCAGUGGCUGAUGUAUUGGACCCUGAACUGCUGCGUGAGUUCCACCGUCGCCGGCCGGAUCGCCCUGCACCUCGCCCUCCGGGUCGUCCCCGAGGCCGGUGUCGACGCACCGCUGGAGCCGCGCGUCGGGGGGGGAGUACUGUCACGACUUCCGCCGAAGUCGUCGACUCCUUGUUUGGGCGGCGGUCGACGUCACCGACUUUCUAGCUAUCGCCGCUCCAUUUUUCAUGUAUCCAUUUGUUUUUUCUUGUUCCCUGCACACCUGGUUUUCAUUCCCCAAUCAAUCUACAUGUAUUUAUUCCUCUGUUCCCCAUCAUGUCUUUGUGAAAGAUUGUUUGUGUUACAUGUUUAUUGUUGACGUGCUAGACUGGUUUGUUUUUUUCUGUGGUAUUUUUCACGAAGAUGUUUAUUGUUAAACAUAAUUCUUGUGACUGUUUUGCGCAUUUUGCCCUUUUGCCUCAGUGUGCGCCUGUUCACAAAUCUCUGCUCUCCUGCACCUGACCUCGUUACCAGUACACACACACCUGACAACCAUCCGCCCAUUUUAUUGGUAAACUACAAGGGUGAACUGGCGAUAAACUGCCAGCCUGUAUGCUCUGCAAACAAAAUCAUAAGAAAAGUUAGUCUGAUACCGAAACAAUAUCACAAUGUAUUGUGGUGUACAGCAGGUGAGCCACCAGGGGGAGACUCGUCGAGGCCUGGUGGCAGACGGUGAUUACAUCACGAGGCGAUGGCGCCCUCUGCAGGACGUGCCAGGUCUUGACGGGCUCUCUGGCCAGGACUAAUUGGG